ACKGCUCAGUAACACGUGGAUAAUCUGCCCUAAGGUGGAGGAUAACCUCGGGAAACUGAGAAUAAUACUCCAUAGGUCUAGGAUGCUGGAAUGCACUUAGACUGAAAACUUCGGUGCCUUAGGAUGAGUCUGCGGACUAUCAGGUUGUAGUCAGGGUAAAGACCUGACUAGCCUACGACGGAUACGGGUUGUGAGAGCAAUAACCCGGAGAUGAUAUCUGAGACACGAUAUCAGGCCCUACGGGGCGCAGCAGGCGCGAAAACUUCGCACUGCGCGAAAGCGCGACGAGGGAAUCCCAAGUGUAUGCACGUAAGUGUAUACUGUUUCUCUGUCUAAAAAGCAGAGAGAGUAAGAGCUGGGUAAGACGGGUGCCAGCCGCCGCGGUAAUACCUGCAGCUCGAGUGGUGAUCGUUAUUAUUGGGCCUAAAACGUCCGUAGCCGGUCUUCUAAAUGCCUGGGUAAAUCGUAUGGCUUAACCAUACGAAUUCCGGGUAGACUGUUAGACUUGAGACCGGGAGAAGCUAGAGGUACUCCUGGGGUAGAGGUGAAAUUCUGUAAUCCUAGGGGGACGACCAGUGGCGAAGGCGUCUAGCUAGAACGGGUCCGACGGUGAGGGACGAAGCCCUGGGGCGCAAACGGGAUUAGAUACCCCGGUAGUCCAGGGUGUAAACGCUGCUUGCUUGAUGUUAGUCUGGCUCCGAGCCAGAUUAGUGUCGGAGAGAAGUUGUUAAGCAAGCUGCCUGGGAAGUACGGCCGCAAGACUGAAACUUAAAGGAAUUGGCGGGGGAGCAC
rnacentral:rRNA from 1 species